rnacentral:lncRNA from 1 species
CCGCCGCCGCGCUCCCCGCGCCCGCCGCCGCCCGAACCGCGCUCUCCGCGCUCCCCUCCGGCCCUGCCCGGAGCCGGUGCGGCCCGCCGGGGGCGGCGGGGGGAGCCGGGGCCGCCGGGGCCGCCUCUCACCUCGCUCGGGGCGGCGGGUCGGGCCCGCGCGCGUGCCCGGCCGUGCGCACGCGCCGGGGCGGAUGCGCGCGCCCCCUGGCGGAACCCGGCGCGCGCCACAAGCCCCGCCCCGCCCCGCCCCUCACGGGGCCUGAGGGAGCCGGGCCCGGCCGGAACAGCGGGACCAGGACAGCGGGAGCGGGGCAGGGCAGGGACCGGGACAGCGGGAGGGGGACAGCGGGACCCGGGCUGGGGAGGGACCGGGAUCACACUGAGGUACACAGGCCGUGCCAGCCUCGUGUCCCGCGGGGAACAGCCCCGGGCCCCUCUGCCUGCCCGGGAGAGCCCCGCGCUUCUCCCACGGUUACCGGAGCAGCUCCCCCGGUCCUGAUGGUGUUCGACCUCCAUCCCGGCAGCUCUAGAGGUUUUUCCUGCAUCUGGGAGUCAGGACUCUGUGUGGUUAAGGGAAGGAAUCAGCAUGUGGGGAUCUGGUUCCUGCUGUUCCCAGGAAAGCUGCACUCCAGGAAGAUCCAGCUGGAUACUCUGGGAUGA